CAGCAGCCACGGGAAUACGUAGGGUGCAAGCGUUAAUCGGAAUUACUGGGCGUAAAGCGUGCGCAGGCGGUGUUGUAAGACUAAUGUGAAAUCCCCGGGCUCAACCUGGGAACUGCAUUGGUGACUGCAGCGCUGGAGUGCGGCAGAGGGGGAUGGAAUUCCGCGUGUAGCAGUGAAAUGCGUAGAUAUGCGGAGGAACACCGAUGGCGAAGGCAAUCCCCUGGGCCUGCACUGACGCUCAUGCACGAAAGCGUGGGGAGCAAACAGGAUUAGAUACCCCUGUAGUCCCUGUCUCUUAUAC
rnacentral:rRNA from 1 species